CACGUAGGAGGCAAACGUUAUCCGGAUUUACUGGGCGUAAAGCGCGUGUAGGUGGUUCUGUAAGUAGGGCGUGAAAGCUCCCGGCUCAACUGGGAGAGGCCGUUCUAAACUGCAGAGCUAGAGGAUGGUAGAGGGAGGUGGAAUUCCAGGUGUAGCGGUGGAAUGCGCAGAUAUCUGGAGGAACACCAGUGGCGAAGGCGGCCUCCUGGACCAUUCCUGACACUCAGACGCGAAAGCUAGGGCAGCAAACGGGAUUAGAUAUCCCGGUA
rnacentral:rRNA from 1 species